rnacentral:lncRNA from 1 species
UGUUCCAUUAUUGAUAAUGUGAGUUAGGCACUUCUUCAUGUUAGUCUACUUACUGGAGCCAUGAUUGUUUUGAUAUUUAUUAAUUGAUUUAUUUUAUUAUUAGACUUUUAACCCACCCCCCUAGACAAAGUCUACUCAGGGCGGCUUACAUGGAUAAUAAUAUUGGCCAAUGGCUACCAUUUCAAGUACUGCAGCUAUUUAAAAUUUUAGCUUUAGCUUGUGUAGAAACCUGGUUAAUUUCUCCAUACAGAUGAGUGAAGAAAUGAGAGAAUUAGCCAUUCGGAUUUUUCUAUAAGACGUCUCUUUUUAUUACAUUUUGAAAUUACAUACAGUAUUUUAGUUACACGUAUUUGAUAUGUUUACUUCUGGAGGAAAAUAUUGCAGUCAGUAAUUUAAGACAAUGUCUUGUGGUUUAUGGACUGACAAUGGUUAGAGGCAGUUUCAUACUUCUCUUAUUUGAUAGUGAAAUGAUAGUGGCUGGAACUAGAAACAGAAUUAAAACCUGAAAAACACACAUAUAUCUUUGAGAGGGCUAAAAACCUGAAACAGUUCUCAGCACAUGCUUGGCACAACAACCAGGUAUUGAUUGGUUUAUUUAAAAUAUUUACAAGCUGCCUUUUAGAGCCAAUGUCUUCCUAAGGCAGUUUCUGUAUAAGUUAAAACAUAAUUACGCAUCAGACUAAAAGAACCAUUACAAGAAUUACCAUCAAAACAACUGUCUGCAAUCAUAAAAAUGAACCAAAGCAACAAAAAUGCCUAUUGUAGCUGACCUUAAAAAAUCAUAAGAUUGUCCAAACAACAACAAAACAAAACAUUUGUACAGUACUGAUAAAAUGAACUGGAUAGGAUGUCGAUGGGCUAUCUGCAAAUAUUUUGGAAUGAUCUGCUCUUCUCCUUCUAGGAUGACAGGAUGAAAAUGGGAGGAAGAAAGAAAAAUAUUCUCUACCUGAUAACUUCAACUCCAGACUGCCAUUAAUCUCUAAAAGAAAAUUGGCAAAUUCAGCUUGGAAUGAAAGUUCAUUGGUGUUCAGUGUGGGCCCACCAAGUCUAUUCGUUACAGAGGACAUUUGGUUAAUGUGCAUUUAUUCUCAAAUGUAUCUUAGCCUUCUCCAUUUGAAACAAAGAUGUUCCGCUUGUUUCCACAAAUAAAUAAAUACAGCAUAUGUAAGAAAAUUAGCAUAUUUAAUAAAGUGUAGACAAAUUGGUCCA